UGCGUAGGCGGCGUUAUAAGUCAGAUGUGAAAGCCCACCGCUUAACGGUGGAAUUGCAUUCGAUACUGUAGUGCUUGAAUUAGGUUGAGGUCGGCGGAAUGUGACAUGUAGCGGUGAAAUGCAUAGAUAUGUCAUAGAACACCAAUUGCGAAGGCAGCUGGCUAGACCUAUAUUGACGCUGAGGCACGAAAGCGGUGGGGAGCGAACA
rnacentral:rRNA from 1 species